rnacentral:rRNA from 1 species
UGGGGAAUAUUGCGCAAUGGGCGAAAGCCUGACGCAGCGACGCCGCGUGAGGGAUGAAGGUUUUCGGAUCGUAAACCUCUGUCAGAAGGGAAGAAACCGCACUGUGCUAAUCAGCAGUGCCUUGACGGUACCUUCAAAGGAAGCACCGGCUAACUCCGUGCCAGCAGCCGCGGUAAUACGGAGGGUGCAAGCGUUAAUCGGAAUUAUUGGGCGUAAAGAGCUUGUAGGCGGUUUGUCGCGUCGAUAGUGUAAACACGCAGCUUAACUGUGUGCCUGCUGUCGAUACGGGCUGACUAGAGGAGGGUAGGGGAGAAUGGAAUUCCCGGUGGAGCGGUGGAAUGCGCAGAUAUCGGGAGGAACACCAGUGGCGAAGGCGGUUCUCUGGACCUUUCCUGACGCUGAGAAGCGAAAGCGUGGGUAGCAAACAGG